GUGAAUCAUCGAAUCUUUGAACGCACCUUGCGCUCCUUGGUAUUCCGAGGAGCAUGCCUGUUUGAGUGUCAUUAAAUUCUCAAUCUCUACAGCCUUUGUGUUGUUUGGAUUGGAUGUGGGGGUUUCUGUGUGGGAUACGCCAUUCUUCACUCCCCUAAAAUGUAUUAGCUGGAAUGCCUCUGCAUAUCUGACUAUUAGUGUGAUAAUUAUCUACGCUCUAGUUAUUGCAUGGAGGGUAUCUGCUUCAUUAAUUGUCGAAAAGACAACCUAAUGAUCACCUUUGACCUCAAAUCAGGUAGG
rnacentral:misc_RNA from 1 species